GCGUACGACCAGGGGAAGCUCCCCAUGGAGCCAAACCCUAACCUUCAACAAAUCUACCAAAUUGAAGGUCAAUCCAAGACCCAAAUCGAUGCAUGAACGCGUAGAAACGAUCACCAAGUCAUGGGGAUCACAAGUUUGACGCUUAGCAAGCUAGGUGAAGGCUUGGGGAAGGAAGCGGGUCAAACGAAGCAAGAAUGACGGAAAAGCAUAAUUCGGAUGCAAGGAAUAAAUGUAGAAAUGAUGUUUGCAUCGCUACUAUUUAGCGAAUAUUAUAGCAAGGCAUUAAAUCAGGUCAAUACAUUGACCCGAGCCAGGUAUGAUUUUAGCACCGGAGGAUGAUCAAACACAACGAAG